ACUUUCACAUGCAGGCCACUGGAUGCUGACUACUGAAGGUUAUGUUGUGUGUGACUGUGCUCAGCACAGCUUCAUGUCUGGCCGUCCCACUCUGUUCAUAGCAUGUUACAUAUUCAAUCUUGAGUACCAGGAUGGGGCAGCGUGUAUCUUGGAGUCCAUUGAAAGAUAUUAAUCCAGAGAGUGGAACAAGAAGAAGGGUCAUCUAAAAUGCCAGGAUACAGAAGAAAAAGGUUGAAGUGAACCCACAUGUUGCCGCUCUUCUAAACACAAUGAUGAAUUUUCAGUGUAAUCGAUGAAAAUUCUAGCUACUUGUUGUGCUCUGAUGGACCAAGAUGUGGACUGUUUUACAGAAUGCAAAACAUACUGGAUAUACAGUGAUUAUGUAUUUCUUCUAAUUACAGUAAAUUAAAAUCAAGCAAUUGGCUGUAAAAAAUACAGCAUUAUACUGUUGCUAUUCAAAAUUACAUUUUUUUCAUGUAUUAUGCAAUUACAGAAAAUGCCUGUAAAUUGAAUUACAGUACUGUGGCUGUAAAAUAUACAGUAACUGGCUGGCAACCCUGCUGCCAGUAUUUUACUGUAAAUUUUAAAGGAUUUUUUUACAGUGCAUACACUGAAAAAAGUGAGACUUUGGA